rnacentral:rRNA from 1 species
GAUGAACGCUGGCGGCGUGCCUAAUACAUGCAAGUCGAGCGAACGGACGAGAAGCUUGCUCCUCUGACGUUAGCGGCGGACGGGUGAGUAACACGUGGAUAACCUACCUAUAAGACUGGGAUAACUUCGGGAAACCGGAGCUAAUACCGGAUGAUAUUUUGAACCGCAUGGUUCAAUAGUGAAAGACGGUCUUGCUGUCACUUAUAGAUGGAUCCGCGCCGCAUUAGCUAGUUGGUAAGGUAACGGCUUACCAAGGCAACGAUGCGUAGCCGACCUGAGAGGGUGAUCGGCCACACUGGAACUGAGACACGGUCCAGACUCCUACGGGAGGCAGCAGUAGGGAAUCUUCCGCAAUGGGCGAAAGCCUGACGGAGCAACGCCGCGUGAGUGAUGAAGGUCUUCGGAUCGUAAAACUCUGUUAUUAGGGAAGAACAAAUGUGUAAGUAACUAUGCACGUCUUGACGGUACCUAAUCAGAAAGCCACGGCUAACUACGUG